UCAGCCCUCCGGAAAUUUGUCAGCCUCUGGUAGCUUUUCGUCGGGACCACGUUUUUUACGGGUCACCAUUUCCUGUGGUCUGGCAAGCUUAGUUGUAAGUGGUACGUCUCAUGCGAAUUUGUCAGUGAAGUUAUUUCAUCUGGCCUGGACAUUGAUGGCUGUGCAGACGGUAAUCACCUGCAUUAUUUUGAUGGGUCUCCAGAGAAUGGACCUUUUUGGUCGGUUCAGCUUUUGGAAGGGCCAAGAACGACAUGAGACGAUCAUUUAGAAAGUGGCAAGGGUGAGCUACAGAGAGACGCAGGUUUUCCAGACCCUUCAGGGGAAGAAUCCGAGGUUCAAACCCUGCUUUUGUGCCGUGUUUGGCUUUCUCUUGUUUUCUCAUUUUUUUUGCUUUGCCUGAACUGUUACAGACCAUCUUCAUGGUAAACUUUAAAAGUGUGAAGGAUUUUCCUAUAAAAAUAUAUUAUGGUUUGUAGUUCCUACACGAUUUUCUCAAAUGGGUAUCUCUGCUUUUGCCCCCAUUAAUAUUACACACUUUUUCACUUCAAGAUCUAAGCCUUAGAAUUUCUAAACAGCAACCGUUUUGGUAAUUGAGAUUUUAUGCAAACCCUAUUGUGGUCGUUGGUAAUGGUCUUUAUUAUCUUUCCAAUGCGUACACCUUUAACCUAGCAUCUUUCAAAAUGGCGGAUCUGUCACCUAAAGCUACUGCAUUAUCUGGUGGAGAUGCUGAUGGCUGUGAUGUUAGGCGAGAUGCUGUUGGUGAGGCAAAGACUUCAUAGAAUAAUUGCAACCGAUGUCACCUUUGCUGAGGGCCUUCGAAUGGGGUUUGCAAUGUUGUAAGGCAAAAUAAUUUCUUGAGACUCAUUAUCUAUACUUUUUUAUGGUUACUGCAGGUAAUUAGUUUGAGACACAUUUUGAAAGCCCUAUGAUUCAUUGGUCAAUACUCUUCAUUUUCUUUGUUUUCUUUGGUUAAUUGCUCAUGACCGUUCUGAUGAAAAACAAAAUUGGAGGCUGACCUUUUUUAAUUUUUUAUUGGUUGAUACCUAUUCUAGUUUUAAUUGUUUAAAACCCAUUUCAAAUAUGUAUUGUCUGAUUUGUAUUGAUUUUAAAAAAGUAUACUUAUUUUAUAUCAUGCAUAUUUUAGAGUUGUUAGUGCCUUGAAAAUGAUUAGAACAGUGUAGCUUAUGUGAUUAGCUGGAAAAAUUGACCACCGCAGUAAAUUAUUCAAAUGAAACCAAAGAGAUUUGUGAAUUUUUUUAUUAAGUAGGAGCUUUCAUGGGUAAUGCCAAUAAGUAUUUCUUUGCAUCUAUUUUAGUUAUAGUAAGAGAAGACCUGGUAUCUGAUCUGAAUGUAUGUGCCGUUCAGAUUUGGUUAUAGUCCAGUUAGAAUAAAAAAUCUUAUUCCCAGAUUUGAAUUAGUGAAAUCUAUUUGUGUUUCAUAUGGCUUCAUUUGUACAUGUCUUUCUUUCUCUAGUUAAUAAUAAUGUAAUAAAUGGUUAUAACCUACAUAUUUAUAUACCCAUUCCUUCAUGAGAUAUGCUUGCGAAGUUUGGUCUAUACGGCAUUUAAUUGGCUUUUUAGAAUGGAAUAGUGUUUUCAUUGCAGCAUUUUCAGUUCAACAUGACAUAAAUGUAAACAGAUAUGUAUUAUUCUACAAAAGCAUUUCUUGGGAAUGCACAGGACGAACUAGAUAUUUAUUUUCCUUCUGAAGAUUUCAUAGCUGUAGUACUGCAGAAGUCUGAAGAGAUUUUGACAGUAGGAAUUUUGAAUUCCAAGGGAGGUUUUUUUGAAACCGGAAAGACUUUCUUUCAUUUGUACAUUAUUUAUAUCUGCAAAGCAUGUUUGUGGUGUUUACAGAUACUUUAAAAAGAAUGUCAGUCGUGAAUACCAACUACUCAAAGCUCAAGUUCUUUCUCACCAAGUAUAUCCACCCAUUUUAAAAAUUGUAGGAAAGCUUUUGGAAGUUAAUAAUGUUCUGAACAACUUCCUCAAGUUCAGAGGAUUAUGAAAGGAACUUGAGUGUUUGAAAAUUAAACCAAUUUAGUGGACGUGUCUAGCCUUUCGUGUAUUGUAGUAUGCAUUAAUAUCACAGGAGAACCAUAACAAGGUUAACCAAGAUCAAUCUGAGAUAAUGUUGAAAGUUUGCAUUUUCAAGUCACUACAAAUUAUUAAAUUUAUGAUCUCUUUGGAACAGGGUCAAGAUGUACAGAAACUGCAAAUAAUUAUGUUCGGUUUCGAUAUGGGAGAUGCUACUGGUUGGAACUGAAUUUAUGGCAACAGAUUGAUAUUUGCUGAUUGCCAAGUGUUAUGCUAAUAUUGCUUGAUUGCUAAUUUGACCUUAGUUUUUAGUUACCUAGGAAAGUGAUCAGUUUACUGGGAAUGAAUAUAUGGUUACUGAUCACUAUCGUUUCCCAUCAAUAGCUAUUCUAGUCUCAUAGGUAAUAAUGCCAAUGUUAAUCACAGGAAAAAUGUAUGACUUACUAUGUUCUCUACCUGAGCAGGUCUAUAUUCUAGCAUGCUACAACCUUCUACUUUUUACAGCAUAUUGUCAAACCAUGAAUUAAAUGGUUUUAGAGGGCAUGGCUUACCUGAUUCGUGAGCUUGAAUUUUCAUAGUCAUCGGGGAAUCUUGUUUGUUCUUUUAUAUAGAGAUUAGAGCUGAAGAUUUUAACUUUGAUUGUAGAAUUUUAUAUAUGUGGAUUCUGUGCACAUGUCUAGGUCAUCUAAAAAAAGGGACUCAUCAUUCAUUCAGCAUUAUGGCCAUGGCUGAAUCAGCUAGUGUAAAUGGUGUACCGCAAAUUGAUAUCUCAAUAAAUCCAAGGGUGGCAUCUCUUAAAUCCAUAAAAAACAAUGGCGAUAUCAGAUCAUGCAAUUGUACUCGUGCAAGUCGGAGUUCCUAUUAUCAGACUAGCAGCUGGUGAGCCUGAUUUUAAUACACCAGACCUAAUAGCUGAGGUGAAAAUGGACAGAUAACAAGAAGUUAAUGGCAUGAUAUAAUUCAAACAACUUGAAAAAGUAGAUUGCCUAUUUUGAUAUUGGUUUGCCCUUCUGUACAGGUAGGUAUUAAGGCAAUUCAGGAAGGUUAUAAUCGAUAUACUCCUAAUGUAGGAACCAUGGAGAUUUGAACUGCUAUUUGUAAUAACUUAAAAGAGGAAAAUGGCCUCUCAUACACACCUGACCAGAUUUUUGUCAGUAAUGGAGCAAAACUGUUUUAGCAGUCCGUUCACCGGGUGAUUAGGUAAUUGCAGAAAUGACUGGAGGAGUAGACUACGGUAUCGAGUGCACAGGGAAUAUUAUUGCAAUGAUUCAGGCAUUCGAAAGUAGUUGGAGAAAGGAAGAAGCUAAAAGAAAGCAAUUGGGAAGAGGUAUAUUUAGAAAGGCCCUUUGUGAAGUAUUGAAAAAAUUGUUCAAGAAAAAUCUCCAACUUGGUAUCUGUCUUUCCUCACCAUCGAGUCACACAACUUGCCUAAGUUUCAUAAGUUUCUAUUUAAAUGAUUGCUUAGGCAAUACGUAGUUUAUGAUGAUUAUCUUUGCAUUCCAAUGAGCAUGUUUGUUAUCUCUAAAUGAUUGCUUAGGCAAUACGUCGUAUAUGAUGAUUAUCUUUGCAAUCCA